rnacentral:misc_RNA from 1 species
GUGAAUCAUCGAAUCUUUGAACGCAAAUUGCACUCUCUUCUGAGAGUAUGCCUGUGUGAGGUUCAGCCUAAAUAAAAUCGACAUAGUUGCUGUUACGCGUUAACAUUCGUCGGGAGUUGUGUCAUCUUAAACCUUUGGCUUGAAGUGGCUUAAAAUGUUCUUUACUAUUCCAAGAACGUCUCUAUGUUUUUAUUUUCUUAUACGUUUAAGUUAUCAUUCUUU